GAUGAACGCUGGCGGCGUGCCUAAUACAUGCAAGUCGAGCGAACGGACGAGAAGCUUGCUUCUCUGAUGUUAGCGGCGGACGGGUGAGUAACACGUGGAUAACCUACCUAUAAGACUGGGAUAACUUCGGGAAACCGUAGCUAAUACCGGAUAAUAUUUUGAACCGCAUGGUUCAAAAGUGAAAGACGGUCUUGCUGUCACUUAUAGAUGGAUCCGCGCUGCAUUAGCUAGUUGGUAAGGUAACGGCUUACCAAGGCAACGAUGCAUAGCCGACCUGAGAGGGUGAUCGGCCACACUGGAACGGAGACACGGUCCAGACUCCUACGGGAGGCAGCAGUAGGGAAUCUUCCGCAAUGGGCGAAAGCCUGACGGAGCAACGCGGCGUGAGUGAUGAAGGUCUUCGGAUCGUAAAACUCUGUUAUUAGGGAAGAACAUAUGUGUAAGUAACUGUGCACAUCUUGACGGUACCUAAUCAGAAAGCCACGGCUAACUACGUG
rnacentral:rRNA from 1 species